CCCUUUCAUUGCAUCUGCUGAGUUUCAAGCGGUUAAAGCGGACAUGUUGACUACUGUGAACUCAAGUAAACUUGCAACCGGAGAGGGUCUGGAAGACUGGCUGCUGGAUGGUAGCAGAGCAUUGGUGGUGAUGUGCUUUACGAAAUCAACUCUGGAAAUUGAGUGUCAUUUGAUCAACUCCAAAUGUGUGAAGUCUCCCUGAGUAAUAUUUCAUCUUAAUUUUACUCUUUUCUCCUACACCGGCAAUAACAAUCACAGGCUGAAUGUCCUGCCUUUGCAAAAUUAACCAAGCAAUUGUAAAAUACGAGCGCCAAUACAA